GUGGUCGCGAGUGAUAGCGACAGUGCGAUUCGAUUUUUAGGCUUUUGAUUGGUGUUUAGGCUAAGAGAGCUCUAAGAGCAUUGAAAGGAUUGGUAAGACUGCAAGCACUUGUUAGAGGGCAUGCUGUGAGAAAGCAAGCUGCUAUAACUCUUCGUUGUAUGCAAGCUUUAGUGAAAUUUCAAGCUCGGGUGCAAGCAAGGCAUGUGCGUUUGGCUUUAGAAAGUCAAACUGAACAGCAGAAAGCUCAUCAACAACUUCUACAGGAGGCACGUGUUCGAGAAAUAGAGGAAGGAUGGUGUGACAGUGUUGGCUCUGUAGAACAAAUACAGUACAAGUUGCUAAAGAGGCAGGAGGUUGCUGCUAAGCGGGAGAGAGCUAUGGCAAAAGCCUGACUAAACAUAUUACUGAUUUGUUUGUGUGUUUUGUUUAUUAGGGGAUCUAGAUCCAUUGGGUAUGUGUAAAA